UACGUAGGGUGCGAGCGUUAAUCGGAAUUACUGGGCGUAAAGUGUGCGCAGGCGGCCGCGCAAGUCGAGUGUGAAAGCCCCGAGCUUAACUUGGGAAUUGCGCUCGAAACUACGUGGCUGGAGUGUGGCAGAGGAAGGUGGAACUCCACGUGUAGCGGUGAAAUGCGUAGAGAUGUGGAGGAACACCAAUGGCGAAGGCAGCCUUCUGGGCCAACACUGACGCUCAUGCACGAAAGCGUGGGGAGCAAACAGG
rnacentral:rRNA from 1 species